rnacentral:rRNA from 1 species
CUACGGGUCGCAGCAGUGAGGAAUAUUGCACAAUGGAGGAAACUCUGAUGCAGCAACGCCGCGUGGAGGAUGACGCAUUUCGGUGUGUAGACUCCUUUUAUAUGUCAAGAAAAUGACGGUAGCAUAUGAAUAAGCACCGGCUAACUCCGUGCCAGCAGCCGCGGUAAUACGGAGGGUGCAAGCGUUACUCGGAAUCACUGGGCGUAAAGGACGCGUAGGCGGGAUAUCAAGUCAGGUGUGAAAUCCUACAGCUUAACUGUAGAACUGCACUUGAAGCUGGUAACCUAGAGUAUGGGAGGGGGAGAUGGAAUUAGUGGUGUAGGGGUAAAAUCCGUAGAUAUCACUAGGAAUACCUAAAGCGAAGGCGAUCUCCUGGAACAUAACUGACGCUAAGGCGUGAAAGCGUAGGGAGCAAACAGGAUUAGAUACCCGCGUAGUC